rnacentral:snoRNA from 1 species
CAAAGACAUGGUGAUAUCACCUCUAUUUGAACUCUCUCAAUGAUUACCUGAAAACAAUAAAAUAUCUCAUAUUAUG